AACUCUUAUACAGGUGUCUCCCUUUCCCUUCCUGUUCCACAACUCUUAUACAGGUGUCUUCCCUUUCCCUUCCUGUUCCACAACUCUUAUACAGGUGUCCUCCCUUUCCCUUCCUGUUCCACAACUCUUAUACAGGUGUCAUCCCUUUCCCUUCCUGUUCCACAACUCUUAUACAGGUGUCAUCCCUUUCCCUUCCUGUUCCACAACUCUUAUACAGGUGUCCUCCCUUUCCCUUCCUGUUCCACAACUCUUAUACAGGUGUCCUCCCUUUCCCUUCCUGUUCCACAACUCUUAUACAGGUGUCCUCCCUUUCCCUUCCUGUUCCACAACUCUUCUACAGGUGUCUCCCCUUUCCCUUCCUGUUCCACAACUCUUAUACAGGUGUCCUCCCUUUCCCUUCCUGUUCCACAACUCUUAUACAGGUGUCUUCCCUUUCCCUUCCUGUUCCACAACUCUUAUACAGGUGUCUUCCCUUUCCCUUCCUGUUCCACAACUCUUAUACAGGUGUCUUCCCUUUCCCUUCCUGUUCCACAACUCUUAUACAGGUGUCCUCCCUUUCCCUUCCUGUUCCACAACUCUUAUACAGGUGUCUCCCCUUUCCCUUCCUGUUCCACAACUCUUAUACAGGUGUCCUCCCUUUCCCUUCCUGUUCCACA